rnacentral:rRNA from 1 species
GAGGUAACGGCUCACCAAGGCGACGAUGGAUAGGGGAACUGAGAGGUUUAUCCCCCACACUGGUACUGAGACACGGACCAGACUCCUACGGGAGGCAGCAGUGAGGAAUAUUGGUCAAUGGGCGAGAGCCUGAACCAGCCACGUCGCGUGAAGGAAGACGGUUCUAUGGAUUGUAAACUUCUUUUAUAGGGGAUUAAAGUUAUCCACGCGUGGAUAUUUGCAAGUACCCUAUGAAUAAGCAUCGGCUAACUCCGUGCCAGCAGCCGCGGUAAUACGGAGGAUGCGAGCGUUAUCCGGAUUUAUUGGGUUUAAAGGGUGCGUAGGUGGCCUGAUAAGUCGGGGGUGAAAAGCUGUGGCUCAACCACAGUCUUGCCUUCGAAACUGUUUGGCUUGAGUAUAGAUGAAGUAGGCGGAAUUUGUGGUGUAGCGGUGAAAUGCAUAGAUAUCACGAGGAACUCCGAUUGCGAAGGCAGCUUACUAAGUUAUGACUGACACUGAAGCACGAAAGCGUGGGUAUCAAACAGGAUUAGAUACCCUGGUAGUCCACGCAGUAAACGAUGAUAACUGGGCGUAUGCGAUAUACAGUAUGCUCCUGAGCGAAAGCGUUAAGUUAUCCACCUGGGGAGUACGCCGGCAACGGUGAAACUCAAAGGAAUUGACGGGGGCCCGCACAAGCGGAGGAACAUGUGGUUUAAUUCGAUGAUACGCGAGGAACCUUACCCGGGAUUGAAAUUUAGCGGACUAUGUAUGAAAGUACAUAUCCUGUCACAAGGCCGCUAAGUAGGUGCUGCAUGGUUGUCGUCAGCUCGUGCCGUGAGGUGUCGGCUUAAGUGCCAUAACGAGCGCAACCCACGUUGUCAGUUACUAUCGGGUAAAGCCGAGGACUCUGACAAGACUGCCGUCGUAAGGCGCGAGGAAGGUGUGGAUGACGUCAAAUCAGCACGGCCCUUACAUCCGGGGCGACACACGUGUUACAAUGGUGGGGACAAAGGGCAGCUACUUGGUGACAAGAUGCGAAUCUCCAAACCCCAUCCCAGUUCGGAUCGUAGUCUGCAACUCGACUAUGUGAAGCUGGAUUCGCUAGUAAUCGCGCAUCAGCCAUGGCGCGGUGAAUACGUUCCCGGGCCUUGUACACACCGCCCGUCAAGCCAUGGGAGUCGGGAGUACCUAAAGCACGUAACCGCGAGGGGCGUGU